GGUUUGAUUAUGGCUCAGAUUGAACGCUGGCGGGAUGCUUUACAUGCAAGUCGAACGGCAGCACGGACUUCGGUCUGGUGGCGAGUGGCGAACAGGUGAGUAAUGUAUCAGAACGUGCCCUAGUAGCGGGGGAUAACUACGCGAAAGCGUAGCUAAUACCGCAUACGUGCCCUUCGGGGAAAGCGGGGGACCUUCGGGCCUCGCGCACUAUUAGAGCAGCCGAUAUCGGAUUGAACUGGUUGGUGGAUAACGGCUCACCAAGGCGACGAUCCGUAGCUGGUUUGGACGACCGGCCACGCUGGGACUGAGACGGCAGACUCCUACGGGAGGCAGCAGUGGGGAAUUUUGGACAAUGGGGGAAACCCUGAUCCAGCCAUCCCGCGUGUGCGAUGAAGGCCUUCGAGUUGUAAAGCACUUUUGGCAGGAAAGAAAACAGCACGGGAGAUAAUGCCCCAUCCUGGGUGACGGUACCUGCAGAAUAAGCACCGGCUAACUACGUGCCAGCGGCCGCGGUGACCAUUUUGUAGGGUGCAAGCGUUAAUCAGGAUGUUCUGGGCGUAAAAACGUGCGCAGGCGGUUCAGGAAAAGAUGCUGAAAUCCCAGAGCCAGUGACCCAGAACUACAUUUUUAACUACCAGCUAGAAGUGUGUCAGAGGAGGUGGAAUUCCGCGUGUAGCAGGUGAAAUAUUUGUCAGAGGGACUUUGGACGAAGGCAGCCUCCUGGGAUAACACUGACGCUCAUGCACAGCAAUGACGGAGCAAACGGGAUUAGAUACCCUGGUAGUCACGCCCUAAACGAUGUCCAACUAGCUGUUGGGGCCUUCAGGCCUUGGUGGCCCUGGUGCGCGUAGAAGUUGACCGCCUGGGAAAUACGGUCGCAAGAUUAAAACUCAAAGGAAUUGACGGGGACCCGCACAAGCAGUGGAUGAUAUGGAUUAAUUCGAUGCAACGCGAAAAACCUUACCUGCCCUUGACAUAUGUCUGGAAUCCCGAAGAGAUUUAGGAGUGCUCGCAAGAGAACGGAACACAGGUGCUGCAUGGCUGUCGUCAGCUCGUGUCGUGAGGAUGUUGAGUUAGAGUCCCGCAACAGGCGCAACCCUUGUCAUUAGUUGCCAGGUAACAAUACGAAAGGGCACUCUAAUGAGACUGCGGUGACAAACCGGAGGAUGGAUGACGUCAAGUCCUCAUGGCCCAUAUGGUGGGGCUUCACACGUCAUACAAUGAACGGGACAGAGGGUCGCCAACCCGCGAGGGGGGAGCCAAUCCCAGAAGCCGAUCGUAGUCCGGAUCGCAGUCUGCAACUCGGUGUGCUGGAUCAGAUCGCUAGUAAUCGCGGAUCAGCAUGUCGCGGUGAAUAGGUUCCCGGGUCUUGUACACACCGCCCGUCACACCAUGGGAGUGGGUUUUACAAGUAGUUAGCCUAACCGUAAGGAGGGCGGUGGCGGUAGGAUUCAUGACUGGGGUGAAGUCGUAACAAGGUAGCCCUGUUAUACCUGAUG
rnacentral:rRNA from 1 species